UACGGGGGGGGCAAGCGUUGUUCGGAAUUACUGGGCGUAAAGGGCGCGUAGGUGGCCAACUAAGUCAGACGUGAAAUCCCUCAGCUUAACUGGGGAACUGCGUCUGAUACUGGAUGGCUUGAGUUUGGGAGAGGGAUGCGGAAUUCCAGGUGUAGCGGUGAAAUGCGUAGAUAUCUGGAGGAACACCGGUGGCGAAGGCGGCAUCCUGGACCAACACUGACACUGAGGAGCGAAAGCCAGGGGAGCAAACGAG
rnacentral:rRNA from 1 species